UACGUAGGGUGCAAGCGUUGUCCGGAAUUAUUGGGCGUAAAGAGCUCGUAGGCGGUCUGUCGCGUCGGCUGUGAAAUCCCGAGGCUCAACCUCGGGUCUGCAGUCGAUACGGGCAAACUGGAGUGUUGCAGGGGAGACUGGAAUUCCUGGUGUAGCGGUGAAAUGCGCAGAUAUCAGGAGGAACACCGGUGGCGAGGGCGGGUCUCUGGGCAACAACUGACGCUGAGGAGCGAAAGCGUGGGGAGCGAACAGG
rnacentral:rRNA from 1 species